rnacentral:rRNA from 1 species
AGCUCCAAUAGCGUAUAUUAAAGUUGCUGCAGUUAAAAAGCUCGUAGUUGCAUUUCCGAGGCAAGGGAUUAGUCCGACCUUUGGUGGGUAUUUAAUCCUCUUGCCUCGUCCUUGAGUGGUGCUUCUUGGUAUUAAGUUAUCGAGGAGAUAGCCGCUCAUCGUUUACUGUGAGAAAAUUAGAGUGUUCAAAGCAGGCUUAUGCCGUUGAAUAUAUUAGCAUGGAAUAAUAAGAUAGGACCUCGGUACUAUUUUGUUGGUUUGAGAACCAAGGUAAUGAUGAAUAGGGACAGUUGGGGGUAUUCGUAUUCAGUUGUCAGAGGUGAAAUUCUUAGAUUGUCGGAAGACGAACUACUGCGAAAGCAUUUACCAAGGAUGUUUUCA